rnacentral:rRNA from 1 species
UUCGUCCGUUUGGUGGUGGGGAGUACGCCGGCUACGCCCGGGUAAUACCGCAUACGGUUGCCGAGGGGAGUCCCUUGGCAAAGAAACCUCCGGGGCACAGAGAGGGGCUCGCGGCCUAUCAGCUAGUUGGGGGGGUAAUGGCCCACCAAGGCGACGACGGGUAGCUGGUCUGAGAGGAUGGCCAGCCACAUUGGGACUGAGAGACGGCCCAG